UCAACACCCCCUCACGUCUAGAUCUCUGGAGCGUGGACAACAUAAAUGGGGGGCCAACAUCGGUAACAAUAAUCGGGAUGGGCCUGGCUCUGAUACCAUGAUAAGAAUGGACCUUGGGCCUAACUCAACCCCAAAAGCGGGUCAAUUUUACUAGGCACCUUUUGAUUUUUCACGCCCUUUAAAAAUAAUAAAUGAAGUAUAUUAUGAAAAGAAUGGACCUUGGUCCUAACUCAACCCCAAAAGCUAGCUUAUGAGGUGAGGAUUGCCCAAGUCAUAUAAGGAGAUCAAGGACCUCAAAUCCCUCCGAUGUGGGACAACUCAACCAUUCUCGACUAACAAUUUAAAAAUAGUUCUCAGCCAGAGGCGGAUGUAGAGUAUCAGUACCAGUUGAACUUGUUACUUUCGAUGCGGAACAUAAAUUUAUGCGUAAAAAUUCGCUAAAAUUGCAACAAAUAAUAGAUAUGAACCUAUAACUUUUUAAAAUAAUAAUGGGUUCAAUGCUAAUAGUCUUAAAGAUUGAACCCAUAAAACUUAAACUCUAGAUCCAUUUCUGUUAUCAGCUGGUAUCAGACAUUGUUAUAUAUUGCCUGCUAGGCAAGAGGAUAGCAAGUUCCAAAUUCUAUCUCGGUAGGACAUGUAUUUCUAUUACUAUGAAAUUCAUA
rnacentral:lncRNA from 1 species